rnacentral:misc_RNA from 1 species
GUAAUAAGUGUUUUAUGGCACUUUUUAAAUCCAUAUCCACCUUGUGUGCAAUGUCAGUCGAUCUUCUUCAUGGAGAUCGACCAAACAUCAACCUUUAUCUUUUAACUCUUUGUCUGAAAAAUAUUAUGAAUAAACAAUUCAAAAUA